GACGAACGCUGGCGGCGUGCCUAAUACAUGCAAGUAGGACGCAGUUCCGAACGGGUGAGUAACGUGUAGGUAACUGCCUAUUAUAGUGGGAUAACUAUUGGACACGAUAGCUAAUACUGCAUACUUGUAGAUGGACCUGCGUUGUAUUAGCUAGUAGGUAGGGUAAUGGCCUACCGAGGCGACGAUACAUAGCCGAACGUGGAGCAGGAUCGGCCACACUGGGAGUGAGUCGCGGCCCAGACUGCGACGGAAGACAGACGUAGGGAAACUGCGACAAUUGGGGGAACCCUGACCGAGCAACGCCGCGUGAGUGAAGAAGGUUUUCGGAUCGUAAAGCUCUGAUGUUAAGGAAGGGGUACUUAACCAGAAAUGGACGGCUAACUACGUGCCAGCAGCCGCGGUAUUAC
rnacentral:rRNA from 1 species